AUGGUAAUUAAAUACAGUAGAUCCACUUAAAAAUUGUACCUGCUGUUGUAUAUCAGCUGCACUAAAGAGAACAGACAGACUGCGCGUCUACGAUUAUCACUGCAACAUUAAGCCUUACAAUUUACUCAUGGGUUUGGAAAACAUAUUUGUUAUGUAGCUAAAUUUUGAUAUUACAAAAAACCACAAUAGACACCUAGAUAUUUUAUUUAUUAAAACAUUUAUUACGUCGGGUUUGUGCUUUGGUCUAUAUUGCCGAGUCAGCUUUGGGUUUCUUUGCUCG
rnacentral:lncRNA from 1 species